rnacentral:rRNA from 1 species
UACGUAGGGUGCGAGCGUUAAUCGGAAUUACUGGGCGUAAAGCGUGCGCAGGCGGUCUGUUAAGACAGAUGUGAAAUCCCCGGGCUUAACCUGGGAACUGCAUUUGUGACUGGCAGGCUAGAGUAUGGCAGAGGGGGGUAGAAUUCCACGUGUAGCAGUGAAAUGCGUAGAGAUGUGGAGGAAUACCGAUGGCGAAGGCCGCCCCCUGGGCCAAUACUGACGCUCAUGCACGAAAGCGUGGGGAGCAAACAGG